rnacentral:pre_miRNA from 1 species
GGGUAAUUGCCAUCCGGUCAGUGUCAACUGAGGGACUUGUGUUUGCCCUUGGUUCCAUUUUGACAUCACCGGGUAGCGAUUACGCUU